CCAAUAGCGUAUAUUAAAGUUGUUGCAGUUAAAAAGCUCGUAGUUGAACUUCGGGGUCUACCCAUUGGUCAGGCUUAAUUGUCUGUACUGGUGAGAUGGAUCUCUACCUUCUGAGGAACUUUCAUGCCAUUUAUUUGGUGUGAUUGGAAAUCAGGACUGUUACUUUGAAAAAAUUAGAGUGUUUAAAGCAGACUAUCGUCUGAAUACAUUAGCAUGGAAUAAUGAAAUAGGACGGACUGAUUCUAUUUCGUUGGUUUCUAGGAUCACCGUAAUGAUUAAUAGGGAUAGUUGGGGGCAUUAGUAUUCAAUUGUCAGAGGUGAAAUUCUUGGAUUUAUUGAAGACUAACUACUGCGAAAGCAUUUGCCAAGGAUGUUUUCAUUAAUCAAGAACGAAAGUUAGGGGAUCGAAGACGAUCAGAUACCGUCGUAGUCUUAACCAUAAACUAUGCCGACUAGGGAUCGGUGGGAGUUAGCUUUAUGACUCCAUCGGCACCUCAUG
rnacentral:rRNA from 1 species